UUCUCUCUGAUGAGAACAAUCUGGUCAGAAACUGAAAAAACGAAUUUCGUUGUGCACGCUGACUUCUCUGGAAGAGACUCUGUCCUUGUCAUCAUCAUCUUCUUCUUCUUCUUCACUCUGUAAAAAAGGCUCAUUUCCCGAUCUGGCAUCAUCUGCACCAUUCGACAUCUCUCAGCUGCAACUCAAUGGCAGCGACACCAAGUCACCUCAUCUCAACCUCCAUCUCCAUCUCCAUCAUCCUCCUCAUCUUCUCAUCGCUGAUGGAGUUUUUGGUUCUGGCCUCAGCCAAUCCCACCAGCCCUGCGCUUCUUCUCCACUCACUCCCUGCCAUGGUCUUACCUCUUUACCUCUCCACCCCCAAUUCUUCGUCUAGGACCUCUUCCAAUCCCCGUCGACUCCUCCAGAGAUCCGAGUCCCUCAACCACCCCAACGCCCGCAUGAGACUCUACGACGAUCUCCUCCGCAAUGGGUACUAUACGACGCGGCUUUGGAUCGGAACGCCUCCUCAGAGAUUUGCGCUUAUUGUGGAUACUGGGAGCACUGUCACCUAUGUGCCUUGCGCUUCUUGCGAAAUGUGUGGCAGACACCAGGACCCCAAGUUCGAUCCGGAAGAAUCGAGCACCUACAAAGCUGUCAAGUGCAACAUAGAUUGCACUUGUGACAGUGACAAGGUGAAUUGUAUUUAUGAGAGACAGUAUGCCGAAAUGAGUACCAGCAGCGGUGUGCUUGGUGAGGAUCUUAUAUCCUUCGGCAAUCAAAGCGAACUUGCACCUCAACGUGCAGUUUUCGGUUGUGAAAAUCUUGAAACUGGAGACCUCUACAGCCAGCCUGCUGAUGGCAUAAUGGGAUUGGGCCGUGGCGAUCUAAGUGUGGUGGAUCAACUUGUUGAUAAAGGUGCAAUAAGUGAUUCUUUCUCAUUAUGUUAUGGUGGAAUGGACAUUGGUGGAGGUUCAAUGGUUCUUGGUGGUUUCACUACCCCAUCAGACAUGGUCUUCACCCAUUCGAACCCUGUACGAAGUCCAUAUUACAAUCUUGAUUUGAAGGAGAUACAUAUUGCGGGAAAGCGAUUGUCUUUGAAUCCAAGUGUCUUUGAUGGAAAACAUGGAACAGUCCUGGACAGUGGCACAACAUAUGCUUACCUACCAGAAGCAGCAUUUCUAGCAUUUAAGGAUGGCAUCAUGAAGGAGCUUAGUUCCCUCAAGCAGAUCCGUGGCCCUGAUCCAAACUAUAAUGAUAUUUGCUUCUCAACUGAUGAAAGUGAGGUCUCCCACCCGUCAGACACCUUUCCAGCAGUUGACAUGGUAUUUGGCAGUGGGAAAAAGUUUACAUUAUCUCCUGAAAAUUACUUGUUCCAGCAUUCAAAGGUCCGUGGUGCUUACUGCCUUGGGGUUUUCCAAAAUGGAAAGGAUCCAACUACUCUUUUAGGAGGAAUUGUUGUCCGCAAUACUCUUGUAACAUACGACCGUGAGAAUUCCAAAAUUGGUUUCUGGAAAACUAAUUGUUCAGAGUUGUGGGAAAGACUUCACGAAUCUGUUUCGCCGCCAGCAAUGCCUCCUGCUUCUGAUGGCAAGAAUUCAACUCCAGGAGUGACGCCUACAUUAGCUCCAACUGGAGCACCACCUUAUGUACUUCCAGGUGAACUCCAAAUUGGAAAAAUAACAUUUGAUAUGUCAUUGAACAUAAGCUACUCUGAUACUCUGAUCUGAAGCCCCACAUUACAGAACUAGCUGAAUUCAUAGCUCAGGAAUUAGAAGUUAAUACAUCACAGGUUCAUAUGUUGAAAUUUGCUGCUAAUGGAAAUGAUUCCCUCAUUAGUUGGGCCGUAUUUCCAGCAGACUCUACUGACAGCAUUUCCAAUACAACUGCAGCAGUUAUAGUUGCCAGGCUCGCUGAACAUCACUUGCAGUUUCCUAUUAUGUUUGGAAGUUAUGAGUUGCUUGGAUGGAGAGUUGAGCCUAAGGAAUUACGGUCAUGGUGGCAGCGCAGUUAUGUGGUGGCUUUAUCCAUUUUAGGAAUUCUAGUGAUUGCAUUAUCAGUUGUUGGAUUGUGGUUUCUUUGGAGACACCGACAGCGGACAGUCAAUCCAUACAAGCCUGUCAAUGCUGCUGUUCCAGAGCAAGAACUCCAGCCUUUGUGAAAAUUUUGUAGCUGUCUUUGCUUGUGGUUGACGGCAUGGCAUGGCAUGUCUGCCAUUUGCAUUUUGAUUCACAUGAUUAGUUACCAACCAAAUUCUGUAAUCACAAUUACUCAGUUGAUCAAGACUCUUGCUCCAUAGGUUGAAGAAUCAUUCUUUGCAAUGCCCAUGAAAGGAUGCCAUAAAUUCAGAUAGUAGAGAGAGAGAGAGAGAGAGAGAGAGAGAGAUAGGUAGAACUACUCACACUUUGGUUCUGUAGACAUCA